rnacentral:misc_RNA from 1 species
CCAAACUUGGUCAUUUAGAGGAAGUAAAAGUCGUAACAAGGUUUCCGUAGGUGAACCUGCGGAAGGAUCAUUACUGAAUAAACUUGGUUGGGUUGUUGCUGGCUCUUAUGAGCAUGUGCACGCCUCAUCCAUUUUUAACCACCUGUGCACCUUGUGUAGACUGGGAACUCUCGAGGAGAAACCACUCCUCGGUCUGAGAAUUGCUGUGUGAAAGCCAGCUGUCUCGUUCCUCAGUUCUAUGUCCUUAUACACACCCCAUAAGAAUGUACUAGAAUGUUGUAAAUGGCCUGUUGUGCCUUAUAAAACAAAUACAACUUUCAACAACGGAUCUCUUGGCUCUCGCAUCGAUGAAGAACGCAGC